rnacentral:rRNA from 1 species
AUACGUAGGGGGCGAGCGUUGUCCGGAAUGAUUGGGCGUAAAGGGUGCGUAGGCGGCCCGGUAAGUCUGGAGUGAAAGUCCUGUUUUUAAGAUGGGAAUUGCUUUGGAUACUGUCGGGCUUGAGUGCAGGAGAGGUAAGUGGAAUUCCCAGUGUAGCGGUGAAAUGCGUAGAGAUUGGGAGGAACACCAGUGGCGAAGGCGACUUACUGGACUGUAACUGACGCUGAGGCGCGAAAGUGUGGGGAGCAAACAGGAUUAGAUACCCUGGUAGUCCACACUGUAAACGAUGAAUGCUAGGUGUAGGGGGUAUCGACCCCUUCUGUGCCGCAGUCAACACAAUAAGCAUUCCGCCUGGGGAGUACGGCCGCAAGGUUGAAACUCAAAUGAAUUGGCGGGG